rnacentral:rRNA from 1 species
GACGAACGCUGGCGGCGUGCUUAACACAUGCAAGUCGAACGAUGGAGCCGGAGCUUGCUCUGGUGAAUUAGUGGCGAACGGGUGAGUAACACGUGAGUAACCUGCCCUUGACUCUGGGAUAACUGCUAGAAAUGGUAGCUAAUACCGGAUACGACCCUCGGAGGCAUCUCCAGGGGGUGGAAAGAAUUUCGGUCAAGGAUGGACUCGCGGCCUAUCAGCUAGUUGGUGAGGUAAUGGCUCACCAAGGCGACGACGGGUAGCCGGCCUGAGAGGGUGACCGGCCACACUGGGACAGAGACGCGGCCCAGACUCCUCCGGGAGGCAGCAGUGGGUAAUAUUGCACAAUGGGCGCAAGCCUGAUGCAGCAACGCCGCGUGAGGGAUGACGGCCUUCGGGUUGUAAACCUCUUUUAGUAGGGAAGAAGCGAAAGUGACGGUACCUGCAGAAAAAGCACCGGCUAACUACGUGCCAGCCGCCGCCGUAA